AGAGUGCUCGCUCAUCCUGAGAAGACUUCACUUCCUACACCUGUUUCGAGCCACAGCGUAACCUGCCUAUGCAAACACAUCCUGUGUCCGGGUCGCCAGGAAAUCCAACUGCUCCAAAAUCACGUAAAAUAUUCAAAUAUUUACCUAGCGCAAGAAACAUACAAAACAAUGCUGACUCAAUGAAGAGAAAAGACUGCUGCGCUUGCCUUUCCCAAGGAUAUUCAACUACAAGCAGGCGAGCAGGAAAAAUGCAUUUUCCACCCGGACACCGAGGGGCACCUCAGAGCAAUGCGCGGGUGUGCGCAGCCUGCUCUGCAAUGAGCGUAAUUUGAACACCGCGAGAAAACGCGGCUCGGUACACAGUUUUCCAAUUUGAAUUUCUAGCUGGAAAUUCCCACACUUUUCUUUAAGACUAUUUUAAGGGCAGCGGAGUGGAGUAGAACAACAAAAGGAAUUAGUCAGUUUAUGCUUAAUUAGUAUUUUGUCUAGAGUUUCAGCGAAAUGUCGCAAUUGAAUGGAAACACAGGAAGUGCUGCAAAUCGUUGCAUAUGCCAAAGGUUGAGCCGCUGAACCGUGAUCAGAUUUGCACCUUGCGCUAUCGCUACCUGCUACCUGCAGGCGCUGGGCACAUGCUGCGGCUUUGCCUUUCGUGCGCCCUAAUUGCAGUCGUAACUGAGAGCCAAACAAAUCACGUUAAACAAUGGCAGUCAAGUGCUGCUUCUUGGCAGGUAGCUGCCAGCAGGAUAUGCUUCGACUCCUGCACCGCCACCAUUAGUGUUCGGUUUCAGCUGUCCCGUGGUGAGACAAGGAGAUGGACAUGGACAUGGACACGGAUUCGGACUCUGGACAGCGGGUGCACUUCUAGCACUCGUUUUGCGGUUUUGAGCACAAGUGUUCCCAGAAACCGAACUGUAUGUAAAUACGUCUACAUUGAUCGCGUGCCAGGCUCUGCUGCUUGGCCAGGCUGAGGGCAAAUCAGAACUGCUGCUGUUUAAGGAGGUUACUAAAUGCUAGUCAUGGAGUUCAAUUAUAGUUUACAUAGUUCAUUUAUAGUAUAAUCAUAGCUGCUUCAAUUUAGUAAUGUUCAAGCCAACCCAUAUCAAAGCACAUCAUUAGCCAGCUAUAAAUAGUGUUUGUUGAGCCAGGACUAAAUAUUUUCCCACAAGCCCACUCGCAGGAGCAGCCUACAAGCAUCCUGUCAGGAAGUGAUCUUUUGAUCCGGAAACUAUAAAAUUGCUUUGGCUGCCACAACAAAAUCUGUGUGUUUGGGCUCCUGGCACGCAAGCACCACUGAAACGCCAUGAAAUGAACCACCUGCGACAGCCGAGCAGGAGAGCAGGCGAACAAGCAUGCAGCUCAGCUCAAUUGGAAAUAGGGCGAGCGCAAUACCUUAAAUAGGGGUUUGCCAGGGGCGUGGAUCGAGUCGGUCGAGUAGGGAAAAUAAAAAGCGCAAUUAGUGUUUGCUUUAAAAUUAAAUUUUAAUUGGAGCUGCCGGCUCCUGGGGUGGUUGCUGAGAAAGUUUGAGCGACGCAGCUUCUAAAAUUAGACAUGUGCUCGGCAAGACACGCCGACUUUUGACAGUUGUCAAUUGAAACAUUUUCGAACAUUUCGAAACACUUCGGAUAUAUCAAUUUCUCACCUCAACUGAAUCACAGCGCGCAGCGCUACGGCUUCGACGAGGACGGGAACCCUCGCCUGCAUUCGGGGGCGAUCGUAUUACCACGCAGCCUAAUCCGUUUGUUGACAAAAUAAAUACGCGGAAAUUCGGAAAAGGGUGAUCCCGCCAUGCAGGCAGCCGCUCUUCUCUAACUAGAUACCCCUUAUAAUUAAUUGCCUCCUCCAGCAAGCUGAAAUUUAUGCGCGUCAACAGCGAUUAGGCGGCAAAUGAAGGGGAUAGACACAUGCCAACGGACUACAGCCGCAGACACAGCUCCAGUUCCCGUUUCAGCUGUGGCUCCAUCUCCAUGUAGAUGUCUAAAUUAUUUAUAGAGAAAGGGAGUGGAUCAUGUAAAGACUGCCUUAAAGAUCAGUUAAUAGUUUCAUUAGGCAUACAAAUCUAAGAUAGGGUAAAAACUUUGUCUGAAGCUAGAUAUUCCAGGGCUUUAUUAAAGGUAAUGUAGUUACAAUUAACGUAUAUAGAAUAGGGAGUCCAACUUCGAUUACUUAGUCGAUUGAGUCUUUCAUCUAGUAAAAUCCUUAUAUCCUAUUUAGCUUUUCUUUUCUGCUCAAUUGCACUCAUAUCUCAAGUCAAACAGUUCUUAAGUAAGAAACAGUAUGCCAUACGCGCCGCAGGAUAUGAGCGUCGAGCGGAGAAAUAAAGGAAAUUAAUGCACUUACUGAUAGCCGCUUGGCAUAUAGGGAAUUGCGAUUUAGAAAGACGAGCUGCAGCUGAAAAUGUGGGCAUGUAAUUUACGUGACAUUUAUCGCCCGCUGGCGAAUAAAAUGCAAACAGGAUAGUCGCCAAACGCAUUACACGGCUAAGCUGUGAAUAUCCUUUAAGUAGCAGCGAAGCUGGGCAACGACAUGGCGCCAUUCCCUUAACCCUUUGCCGGCUGCCAGCAGCAAACCCCCGCCACGACCAGCCGGGCAAUUGGUGAAGUUUUCGCAAACAUUUUGCACGACUGCCAGAGGACGGAGAUAAGCUUAUGUGAACUAUUGCCGGAUAGAUAAACAAAAGCUGUGCCAACACACUCACACACACACACACAGAGAUACAUACACGCGGCAUGUACGGCCUGCCAUGCGGCCGGGCUGGGGAUCGGUCAAACUUGGAGUUUGCGUAAAUGAUAUCCCGUGGCGAAAGGAUUUCCUUUAUAGGCCGCUGCACACUUUAGCGACACUCAGGUCUCGGCACUCAACACUCGACUCGUCGCGAUUGUCUUGCAGCCGCAACCCUUGCCGCAUGUCCUGAGACGUCCUGCCCGACGUCUAUUUAUGUCCGUUUUGCAUAUUACUUACUCGACUGCUCACAGUGGGACGUUUGCUGUGUUGCGAUGUGUGCUGUUGCUGUUGUUGUUGUUGUUGUGCAACUUCCUAUUAUGCUAUUUAUCAUAAUUUUUCAAUUUAACACCGUUCCAUAGAGACAUUGUCCUGCAUGUCCUGUGGAUAGUUGCCUCAAUGUUUACUUGCGCAAACAUCCUUUGACAAAGUUUCCGCAUUGUCCAGUUGCUUUGAUGGCUUAGCCUCUACUUUCACAAUUUUGCAUUCUCAUCGAUCCAUCUUUUGCUAGCUGCCAAUGUGUUUGCUCAGCUCCCGUUAUCCUUCAGCACAGCCGCAUCUGCAUCGCAUCCCAUCGCAUCACAUCGCAUCGCAUCGCAUCGCAUCGCAUCGCAUCCUGGGUUUCAAUUCCGCGUUAAGGACUCUGUUAUUAAUGAGCAUUUUGACACUUACGUCUUGACAUUUGCACAGCUGCUCGUUUGUCUUAGGACUUGCUUACGGUCAUUUCUUGAGCAAAUGUUACCCCAGAGAUAAUAGUCAACGAGAUGCAAUAGCAAAAGGUCAACUGACCUCGGCCAUUUGAAUAAAACUGUAAUUAUGUUUGCAUUUUACUACGGGUCACUCAAUUGAUCACCUAGAACCAGCGACUUGGUAAUCUGAGGAUAGUGUUUGCUUAGUGUUUGCAUCCUGAAAACGGGAUGAUAUGUUGAUCUUAAAUAUAUACAUAAUAUGAAAUAUUUCUUAUAUACUCUGGAAACUUUGUGAAUCAGCGAAGGUCAUCAUGCCAAAUGCCAUCAAAAUAAAUGGAAAUAUACAAUGUCUCAGCUCCCAUUUGCCAUAGUCUAGAAACUGAAUCAACUCUAUCGAAUAAUAUUUAUUUAGCAAUAUGAGCAUCCCUAAUUUAUCAUCAGAUAAGCAAUUGACUAUAAUAAUAUAUUACAGAGAUAUCAAAUUUAUUACUAUAAAUUAUUGAUAAAGUGACUACAAUAAUAUAUACAUAUCAGAAACAUCAAUUGUUAUUCCUUACAGAAUAACAGCUUAUUCAUUGCUUAACUCCAGUGAAAGUCUUACCUACUUCUUCAGCUAACUUUGACUAUGUUGCUUAACAGCCGAGUGUAAUCAAAUUAAUAGAGAAAUUCAAAUGGGUAAGAAAAACAAAUAGACUGUUCUGAGCCAUAGGCGAGCUAACAGUCCACCCCUUCAGGACGGCGCAGCGCAGCUCUGACCAGUGUCCAGUCUCUGGGCAGGCAGCUGCCUCUGGUGGACUUACCCCGUAUGCUGGCUGCCAGAGAUCCCUGGGCUGAGCCGAGGCACAAUUCCCGUGCGACGUGUUGGCUCGCUGGUCAGCCGAUGCGACAAUGUGAAAGGAGCCAGCGUCAAGGAUUAUUGAUUAUGCAAAGUGCCCGAACCGGACAAUGGCGAGAGAAACAAAGGGCUUAAGCAAAGAAAAAGGAUGUGUGUAUGUAAAAAAUAAAAAUAAGAAUAAGAAUAUACCAAUGAAGGAUAACCAAAGGGUUGCAAACUGGACAGCAGACAGAAAAUUAUGAAAUAUUCAACCAGGGCCAGCGCGUGUGUUUAUGGCUAUUAAAGAGAUAAUAGUUUCUGACUGACUGAUGCAACGGUCUUGAUGGUCAGUUUCGCUAUUUUGGCUUGGUUAAUUAUUAUCCUGCGUCCUGGCUGAGUGUGAGAAAGUUGCGCCUAAUGAUGCACAGAUUCCGAUGGACAUUGCCAACUGGACACCGAGAGGUGAGCGAAAGGCUUCAGCUGUUGAUGGAUGCUGACGGAUUAGGGCCGUAAUUAAUGAUGUGCGCGUCUUGGGUGUGAAAUCUUUCACAAAUUGACCAGAUCAAUGGAGAGCAAAAGCUACAAAGGUGCUGCCCAAAAGGUUGACAAUAUGUGAACCUUCAUUUCGGCAUUCACUUUCCCAAGCCAUCUAUCACCUCCUGCUACGCCCCAUUUAUACUGAAUUUGGAAGAUAAUAGCCAUAUGCAUCAACUGUAACUCCAAAUGAAGUUCGCUUAUAUUUCAUUUGAAAAUAUGUAUAUUUAAAUAUUGUCAAUCGAAUUAUUCUCCUCUGCUUUACAUAUAUUUUUUAUAAAUAUUGAUUUAUCCACUUAUAACUUUUUAUCCAUUUAAUGGAUGCAUCUUUAAGCUGGCUUGAGAGCAAUUGGCUUUGUUAUAGCGAUUCAUUCAUUGCAUAUAAAAUUAUACAUUCAUGUGAAGUGCACAGAUGAUGAGUCUCGAGUGUCCUAAGCAUUAUCCUUUUACGCCUUUUGUCUGGCAAGGAUAGGAGAAAAAAUGCAAAAAUGAGGCUAAGCCUCACUCACUACACUACAUAAAAUAAAGCUUAU